rnacentral:rRNA from 1 species
GACGAACGCUGGCGGCGUGCUUAACACAUGCCAGUCGAACGGAAAGGCCUCUUUCGGGGGGUACUCGAGUGGCGAACGGGUGAGUAACACGUGAGUAACCUGCCCUUGACUUUGGGAUAACUUCAGGAAACUGGGGCUAAUACCGGAUAGGAGCUCCUGCUGCAUGGUGGGGGUUGGAAGGUUUCGGCGGUUGGGGAUGGACUCGCGGCUUAUCAGCUUGUUGGUGGGGUAGUGGCUUACCAAGGCUUUGACGGGUAGCCGGCCUGAGAGGGUGACCGGCCACAUUGGGACUGAGAUACGGCCCAGACUCCUACGGGAGGCAGCAGUGGGGAAUAUUGCACAAUGGGUGGAAGCCUGAUGCAGCAACGCCGUGUGCGGGAUGACGGCCUUCGGGUUGUAAACCGCUUUCGCUCAUGACGAAGCUUUGUGUGACGGUAGUGGGUAAAGAAGCACCGGCUAACUACGU